AGAGUUUGAUCCUGGCUCAGGAUGAACGCUGGCGGCGUGCCUAACACAUGCAAGUCGAGCGAUUCUCUUCGGAGAAGAGCGGCGGACGGGUGAGUAACGCGUGGGUAACCUGCCCUGUACACACGGAUAACAUACCGAAAGGUAUGCUAAUACGAGAUAAUAUACUUUUAUCGCAUGGUAGAAGUAUCAAAGCUCCGGCGGUACAGGAUGGACCCGCGUCUGAUUAGCUAGCUGGUAAGGUAACGGCUUACCAAGGCGACGAUCAGUAGCCGACCUGAGAGGGUGAUCGGCCACAUUGGAACUGAGACACGGUCCAAACUCCUACGGGAGGCAGCAGUGGGGAAUAUUGCACAAUGGGCGAAAGCCUGAUGCAGCAACGCCGCGUGAGCGAUGAAGGCCUUCGGGUCGUAAAGCUCUGUCCUCAAGGAAGGUAAUGACGGUACUUGAGGAGGAAGCCCCGGCUAACUACGUGCCAGCAGCCGCGGUAAUACGUAGGGGGCUAGCGUUAUCCGGAAUUACUGGGCGUAAAGGGUGCGUAGGUGGUUUCUUAAGUCAGAGGUGAAAGGCUACGGCUCAACCGUAGUAAGCCUUUGAAACUGGGAAACUUGAGUGCAGGAGAGGAGAGUGGAAUUCCUAGUGUAGCGGUGAAAUGCGUAGAUAUUAGGAGGAACACCAGUUGCGAAGGCGGCUCUCUGGACUGUAACUGACACUGAGGCACGAAAGCGUGGGGAGCAAACAGGACUAGAUACCCUGGUAGUCCACGCCGUAAACGAUGAGUACUAGCUGUCGGAGGUUACCCCCUUCGGUGGCGCAGCUAACGCAUUAAGUACUCCGCCUGGGAAGUACGCUCGCAAGAGUGAAACUCAAAGGAAUUGACGGGGACCCGCACAAGUAGCGGAGCAUGUGGUUUAAUUCGAAGCAACGCGAAGAACCUUACCUAAGCUUGACAUCCUUUUGACCGAUGCCUAAUCGCAUCUUUCCCUUCGGGGACAGAAGUGACAGGUGGUGCAUGGUUGUCGUCAGCUCGUGUCGUGAGAUGUUGGGUUAAGUCCCGCAACGAGCGCAACCCUUGCCUUUAGUUGCCAGCAUUAAGUUGGGCACUCUAGAGGGACUGCCAGGGAUAACCUGGAGGAAGGUGGGGAUGACGUCAAAUCAUCAUGCCCCUUAUGCUUAGGGCUACACACGUGCUACAAUGGGUGGUACAGAGGGCAGCCAAGUCGUGAGGCGGAGCUAAUCCCUUAAAGCCAUUCUCAGUUCGGAUUGUAGGCUGAAACUCGCCUACAUGAAGCUGGAGUUACUAGUAAUCGCAGAUCAGAAUGCUGCGGUGAAUGCGUUCCCGGGUCUUGUACACACCGCCCGUCACACCACGGGAGUUGGGGGCGCCCGAAGCCGGAUUGCUAACCUUUUGGAAGCGUCCGUCGAAGGUGAAAUCAAUAACUGGGGUGAAGUCGUAACAAGGUA
rnacentral:rRNA from 1 species